AGGCAGUCUGCUGCUAUUCUGGGAGGUCUCCUGAUAAUUAAACUUUCAACAUUUCCAUGAUGAAAAGCUGCACUGAAAAUCAAUGUUCAGUUGAUAUUGAUGCACACAGGGAAGACAGAAGCCUUGGAUAGGUCUACAGAACCAAGCUGUGAAUGCCUUGUACCACCUUUCUGGGAAAAGUGCUGCAAGACUGAACCACCAUCCCUCAGUUCUCAUCCUUUAAUCUUAUGCCUGGCUACAGGAACUGAAGGAAAACAGAAUGAUGAGAAAAUGUGAAGGAGAUGACCACCAAUUUCCUUCCAUUGCUAAAUUACUAAUUUAUAUGAAGAAGCAUUAUGAAAAUUAAGUAUGUAUCACACACUUCCCUAAAAUUU
rnacentral:lncRNA from 1 species